rnacentral:rRNA from 1 species
AUGUACGAUCAUAUUAAUGUUAAUGCAUUAUAUUUCAACAAAACUACAUUUUUAAGCACGCUUGCGAUAGAGUAGUAUUGAGAUGGAUAACCUCUCAAGAAGUCCUAGUGUUGCACAUA